AGUUGCUAGUUCCUAAGAACCUCACCUCGCGUGUGAAGACAAUAUACCUAGAAGACAAGGUAUAUAAGGCAAAGGGGGGAGUUUUACCUUGCGCGCGUUGCACUUUCAGUUCCGUUUUGGCUGUUGUCCAUACCCUCUUUCUCAUCCCAUUCAUGUAGCACGUGUGUAGUAGCCGUGUAGAGCUGCCAAGUAACAUGUAAUAAACUGAGCAAAAUGUAAACAUUAUAGAAAUUCAGAAAUUCCAAUUUUUUUGAACCGAUCGGGUGGGGUGCUGCGCGUCGUUGCAAAGUAAAUAAAACAAAUUUGGUAACGCCCUUCUACAGAAAGACUAUAAUAGGUACAAGUUAUCCGCCCUGAUGUUGCGUCUCUUUAUGGAUUGAACAAAAUAGAUCAUCGAACAGCUAGCGGAACUAUAUGACAAAACUUAUCUCCUUUCAUAUUCAGUGGGUUUAGUGGAAUAGGAUUAUUUGUUGAACCAUUCCUUGGCGUCUGACAGAUAUAGGACCCUAUUGAUGGCCACUUUACGUUUGUUGAUGAGUAUAUGUAUAAAGCUCCUAGCAUAUGAGUCCAAUUCAUUUAUCUCUGAUACUUAUGAUAAUAGUUUUUAUUUCUUAAGUCCCUAUCAUAUCAGGCUUGGCCAAUAUGAUGGCCAUUUUUGAAUGUUUUGUACAGUCUCAUUUACUAAAUGCGUUCCGAUAAUUGCCAUUUCGAGUGCCACAUG